UACGGGGGGAGCAAGCGUUGUUCGGAUUUACUGGGCGUAAAGGGCGCGUAGGCGGCGCCGCAAGUCGGUUGUGAAAUCUCCGGGCUUAACCCGGAAAGGUCAACCGAUACUGCGGGGCUAGAGUGCAGAAGGGGCAACUGGAAUUCUCGGUGUAGCGGUGAAAUGCGUAGAUAUCGAGAGGAACACCUGCGGCGAAGGCGGGUUGCUGGGCUGACACUGACGCUGAAGCGCGAAAGCUAGGGGAGCGAACGGG
rnacentral:rRNA from 1 species